AAAAAAAGAAGAAAAGGUUUUACAACUGACCUUUCUAACUACGAAGGUUUCUACAUUUGAUCUGAGUUUA
ensembl:snoRNA